rnacentral:tRNA from 1 species
GGCUUUGUGGCGGAAUUGGUAGACGCUGUGGAUUUAAAAUCCAUUGACCCUAGGUCGUGAGGGUUCGAUCCCCUCCAAAGCUA